AAAAAAUAUGUUAAUUUAACGUGUUAAAAUUUAAAAAUAAAUUUUAAUUAUGACAUACAUCUUAACAUUUAUAUAAAUAUAUAUCAUAACCUAAAUAUAAAUAAUUUAACAACUUAAAUUAGAAAAAUAUAAAAAUCUCGGGCGUAGCCCGGGUUAAUCCCUAGUAACAAUACUAAAAGCACAAUAUGGUGAGCAGGGAGUGUGCCACCUCAUCAAAAAUAAUCAGCCAAUAAGAACAUUUCAUUUCGGGUCUGGGCUUCAGUUUUGUUUCGAAUGGGCUUUGAUAUGUUUUCGGCUCUGGGCUUCUGAGUUGGUUUAGAAUCUGCUUCGUUUGGUUUUGUUACGGCUUACUCUCCUCUCUUCCCCAUUUCACUUCGUUUUCUCCCUUCAAACUGUAGCGUCUGAGCUUUGAUCAUCCCCUUCUUCACAAUCAAUUAUCCACAAUCAAUUUCUUCUUCAUGGUUUCGUUACAUCUCCCUCCUUUCCUCCUUCUUUAUAUACUUUGUUUUCCCCUCAUGUUCAAAUCAAAACUCUAGAACCGCUCGACCUACCUUUCGUUGGAAAGGUAGGUCUUCGGCAUGUCCCUUGCUUGCGAACUUCUUUAGUAGGGCGGGUAGCUUUGGAGAUCCCAUUCCUCACGUUUACCGUUGUCCCCAGACUUCACUCUUUCAAAACCAAAUGGAAAGUCUGUUCUCUCCUCCGACUACGACGACAAAGUCGUCUUCUUCAGAGAUCUCUCGCUGGGUCACCACGAGCUCAGUUGCGAUUUCGGCUCAUCCAUUCCUGGGAGGCUUGGAACCUGCUAAAGAAGACGCUUAUUGGCAUGGAGAUGCUACUCAUCGACGAACAGGGAUCUUUUAUUCAAGGAUUUAUAUCCCCAGGGCGUUUUGAAAAAUAUCUGUCUGAUAUGAAGCCAAGAUCUGUUUACAAACUCAGAAACUUCUAUGGAUCCAGAAACAAAACGGUGUUUCGUGUUGCUGGGUAAGCUCUGUGAUUCCCAAUGUUAUUUCUUAGUUGCGUUGCUUGAUGAUUACAUGUAGGAUUUAGCCUUUCUUGCUGCUUAGAUACAUCGAUCUCGAUUUAGCUUAUCAAUGUUUUGGAUUUGUCAUAAUAUUCUCUGAACUCUGCCUCGAAUUUAUUGAUCAUUAUAGCGUAACGUAGUAUAAAUUGGAUCUGUUGAGUACUUUAAAGGCCCAACUUCAUUGGUACUAUACCAAGGUUUUCAAGGUUUCCAAAGGCUCAACUUCUUUGAUUUGUACAAACAUAAAGUGUGGGAUUGUUAACGAGGCUGGUGUUGCACAGUAAGAACUCUCACCUGGUUUUAAAUUAUGUUAUCAUUGCUAUUAGGUUCUGAUUUUUUCAUAACAAGUACCUUUCAAAGAUAUCAGUUUACGAUAACAGUGACCAAGCUGUUUUUGUACUACUUGGUGAUGCUGGUCGUGAGUUGACUGGGAGGCCCGCAUCAGAAUUGGUUAGAAGCUAUUUUGAGGUAGCUUUCCAUCAAACCAUGCUCUGAAACGUAUUGGCAUUACGGUGUUUUCUCUUCAUCACACAAUGCUCUGAAAUGUAUUGGCUUGACACUGUUUUGCUUGAAUGUCAGGCAAAUGGAAACGCAGGAGUUGACCAAGAGGCGCCUAUCCCGGAAGCUCUAACCAGCACCAUCGGGCAGAGGCGUAAGUUUUGUGUCAAAGUUACAGAGCAUAACUUCUCAGGCAAGACUCGAUCUCUUACCGUGACCAAGAUCCUCGAUCUAGACACUCCACCAGCCACAGUGUCUUCUGAAGGAAACCAGACAACUGCACCAUCGGAUGUAUCCUCCGAAAACCGUGUGGUUUCUGCAGAGGCGGGUAAGAGAACUUGUGACAGUAGUGAGGUAGAGAAAGCUAAACGUCCUAAGUGUGGGCACUAGAGUUCUCAUGUGUCCUCUCAGAGCUUGCAAUUUCCUUCAGUUUAAAUGUUUUUUCCAAUUUUAUUAUUGCCUAAUCGUUUUCAUUCAGUUUGGAUUUUCAGAGUUUGUUCACUUGCAAACAUUUUCAGUUUGAAUAUUGAGAGAUUUUUGUCUUUACUUAUGGUUUUCUUCAGUUUGAAUUCACAUAAUUUUUUGUGAAUCAUUUGUUAUCACUUCUACUCUGCUUCUUCGGGUUUGCUCUGUUGAGUUAAUUAUUUAUAGUGUGUUUCGAUAUUGUGGGUUAACAUGCCAUUUUUAACUUAUUUGCAUGUCAUCGUCAAUGCAUGAGUUAUCCCUCACGUGAGUCCAACAUUACGGUAAUAUAAGAUAAAUCCAAGAGUAAUUACAUAAUCAAACUACAUAUUCAAAAACCCAUAAAUACAUUCCUACCGCAUUUAACGUAAUUAAAUGCUAUUUCCUUUGCUAACUUGACAAAAUAUUUCAAUAUCUAUGCAUUAAUACUAAUAUCUUUCCUAAACCUUGAGGCAAGGUUAACAAUCAUAAAUUUUUCCAAAGACUGACGAGAAAUAUUUUAAUACAUUAGAACAUGUCCAUUCAAGGAAAGCGCAAAUCACACACAAAGCAGUUAAAUUCGAAUUUCUACUCCCGUUUUGUUAAUUGAUUCAAAACCGCUCGGCAAGACCUUUCUUCACCCGGUUCGUGCUUGGCUCCUUAUACUACUUUACGAAUCUAGCCAAAAGACUGGAUAAGUGUAAGCCUCCCAGCUCUCUAACUGACAAUAUGUUAACCAAACGCUCGUAGCUUGGUGGUAAAGGAGGUAUAGCUGUACUGCCCGCCACCCGGGUUCGAGUCUUGGCCACAACGGAUUUAACAUCCCUUCCGUUGGGGCGCUGGACCCCUUUCGGAGGGAUAGUUGGGAAUGUGGCUGCCCAGAUACCAGAGUUAUCAAAAAAAAAAAAAAAAAAAAAAAAAA